rnacentral:rRNA from 1 species
CAAAGGAAUUGACGGGACCCGCACAAGCGGUGGAUGAUGUGGUUUAAUUCGAUGCAACGCGAAAACCUUACCACCUUUGACAUGGCAGGAAUCCUGAAGAGAUUUGGGAGUGCUCGAAAGAGAACCUGCACACAGGUGCUGCAUGGCUGUCGUCAGCUCGUGUCGUGAGAUGUUGGGUUAAGUCCCGCAACGAGCGCAACCCUUGCCAUUAGUUGCUACGAAAGGGCACUCUAAUGGGACUGCCGGUGACAAACCGGAGGAAGGUGGGGAUGACGUCAAGUCCUCAUGGCCCUUAUAGGUGGGGCUACACACGUCAUACAAUGGCCGGUACAGAGGGUAGCCAACCCGCGAGGGGGAGCCAAUCCCACAAAGCCGGUCGUAGUCCGGAUCGCAGUCUGCAACUCGACUGCGUGAAGUCGGAAUCGCUAGUAAUCGCGGAUCAGCAUGUCGCGGUGAAUACGUUCCCGGGUCUU